ACAAAAUGGAGGAUCCAGGACUAUGGCACAGGGUGAGACUGAUGAGAAGAGGAUGAGGUAAACGGGCAAGAAGGUUUCUGAGGUGUGAAAGGAAAACCAUGCUCUAGGAAUGAGCAGCUACCGCAUACAGUCGUCCACGGCCCACAGGUCCAGUGGUUAGCUGGAAAGAGGGCAAAUCUGAAAGACAGGAUUUUCAGCAAGGACAGAGCAGGAACAAGCUUUUGUUUCUUCUGUUCUACCUCCUUCUAAGGUUUCUUUAAGGGGAGAUCCUUGUCUCAGCCAGUGGUAGGCCACCCAGUUGCUUGUAG
ensembl:lncRNA